UUGGCUGGAGGUUGUCAGCGUCUCGCUAUUGUUUUGUUUGUUUCUUUAAGAGAAAAAGGGGAUUCUGUCUCCCUGGACUGGCUGGAGAGCGGGCGUGGGGAGAAUGUCUCAGCGAAAGUACUUUUAUUCAUGCAAGAAAUACUUAUUGAAAAAUUACCUGUAGAAACUGCUGCAAAGCACAGUGUUUCCACAUGGCCUGUCUGGAUGACAUUCUGUACCACCAAGCAGCCACUGUCUUUCCCUGGGAAGCUGGAGCAGCUGACUGAGGUGUCACCUUGUCUCCCCCCCCCCCCCCCGUCUCCCCCGCCUUGACUGGGCCUUGGAUUUGCAGCUCAGCUGUGGUAUGUGAGUUCUGGAGGCUAGGAAGUCCACGAUCAAGGCACCACAUCUGGCAAAGGCCUUCUGGCUGCAUCAUCACAUGGUGGAAUAUGGGGGAGGAAAAAGACACGGAGCUAAACUCACCUUUUAUAAUGGUAUUAAUCUCACCCACAAUGGUGGAGCCUCUGUGGCCUAACCACCUCCCACAACGAGCUGUAUGGCAGGGAGAACCUCAAGGUGAGCUUCUCAGCCUGAUGUCUUUGCCUUGUCUGUGUUUAUAGGGGUUAGCUGAUUUUCUAAAAAGAACUAUUUUACUGAUUGAUGCAGUCAGGAUCUUAGCUUUUGUUUCUGGUGAGCCAAGGUUCACAGGACUAUGGGCACAUAGCAGAAAGCAUGCAGAGGUCCCACAAGGGGCAGCCUCCUCCAGUAUAUCAUGUUGUGAGUAUGUGCUUAUCUUCAUUACACUGACCACCAAGAUCAUGCCCUAUGCUGCCUAUUCCUCCCUAACUGUCCUUACACUGUCCAGUAGCCAGAAAACUGUAGGUGCCCUGCCCUCCCCAGGCUCUAACUUCUGUCCCCUCAAACCAGUGACCACUGGCCCCUGUGUGAAUUCUGCCUCUCUCUGCUGUGGAUUGGAGCCUUUUUUCCAGGUGUGAACUGCGACAGUGAUAGGACUUACAUCUGUUACUUUCACUAUCAGGGUGUCCUUAUUAAAGACAGCUAAGUUAGAAAUAUUGCAGGCAGUCAUAUUGGGCUAGGCUUUCAAAAGAGCCAGUGCAGAAGAUUACAACUGUGGAUGGAGGCCCAUUCAUUGAAGGCCAGACCUCAAGACAAAAGAUGGCAUGACUACAACUACAUAUUUCCCCUAGGGACAAACAGUAAUGAUUUUUUUUUGAGAGAGAAAGGGCCUCACUCUGCAGUGAGUUCAGUUCUUGACUUCACUAUGUAGCCCAAGCUCAUCUCAAACUCACAGCAAUCUUCAUGCCUCAACCUCCCAAGUGCUGGGAUUACAGACAUGUGCCACCACACCUGGCAUCAAGCAGUAAUGAUUGAUAAUCUAAAUAGGCAUCAAUAAUGGGGAGGGACCAGGCAGAAGCAUUGACCCUACCUUCCAGGAAGAGUCCUUGUUCUUUCCAUGGACACUUGCUACCCCAUCGGAUGACUUG